UACGAAGGGUGCAAGCGUUACUCGGAAUUACUGGGCGUAAAGCGUGCGUAGGUGGCGUGUUAAGUCGAAUGUGAAAGCCCCGGGCUCAACCUGGGAAUGGCAUCCGAUACUGGCAGGCUAGAGUUCGAUAGAGGGUAGUGGAAUUCCAGGUGUAGCGGUGAAAUGCGUAGAGAUCUGGAGGAACAUCAGUGGCGAAGGCGGCUACCUGGAUCAGAACUGACACUGAGGCACGAAGGCGUGGGGAGCAAACAGG
rnacentral:rRNA from 1 species